CUUUGAAACCGAAUAUUUUAACAGAAAUCUGGAAAACCACAGACAUAGAUAUUAGUUUCUAGAACGAUUGUAUGAAACGAGUGACGGAGGGAGCCCUCUUAAAGGCUGGGGCAAACGUGAAGUUUUAUCACUGAUUUGUCAGUCUCAAUGACAGAGCCAAUGCUCUACAAAACUGAAGAUGCCCAAUUAUUUUUUUAUCUCUUUUUAAAGUUCGAUAUGUAAUCGAGUACUCUAUACUAAUUGAAGACUGAAUAUACUGACUAGUUUUUUUUUUCAUAAAACUAAAAAUAAAUCGAAAUUGGUACGUCAUAUUAAAUUAUAGUUAAACAAACUUUAUGGAAAGCAAAUUCUUUUUAUUGAUAAUUAAGUUUAGUAAACAAAACAUAAAAUAUUUUAAUAGUAAACAUGGAAAAAAUCUAGAUAAGUAUCAAAAAUCUAUUAUAACCUUUGUUAUGUGUACAAUUUUUUUUACGUUUGGAUCUGUAAAAAAAAUUCAUUCAAUUCCAAAGCGACAAGAAACGAUUUCAGAAAAAUAUAUCUACUUACAUACCUUUACAAACGUACAUACUUUUUUUUCUAUUUGAUAAUAGUGUAAUGUAUACUUAAAAAACAUGUGUGCAGUUCACACUUGGCAGAAGUGAAACCUUCAGAAAACUUAACUUCGAGGUAAUGAGACGUAUGCAGAGUAUUAUGAGUAGGAUAAUAGGGUAUUGGACUGUAGUAAUAAAAUGAUGUUAUGUUUUGUAUAGCGGUAGUUUAUGGGGCUA